rnacentral:rRNA from 1 species
CGAACGGGUGAGUAAUGCGUGACCAACCUGCCCCAUGCUCCAGAAUAGCUCUUGGAAACGGGUGGUAAUGCUGGAUGCUCCAACUUGACGCAUGUCUUGUUGGAAAGUGUUUAGUGGCAUGGGAUGGGGUCGCGUCCUAUCAGCUUGUAGGCGGGGUAAUGGCCCACCUAGGCUUCGACGGGUAGCCGGCCUGAGAGGGCGGACGGCCACAUUGGGACUGAGAUACGGCCCAGACUCCUACGGGAGGCAGCAGGA